GGAAGGAUCAUUAACACGUUUCAUACGUUUGAUUUCGAUCAUCCACACCAAACCGUGUCACCAGCUCGAUUGCCUCUUGCGAUUCGCAUCUUCGGAUGGGAGUCACUUGAGGUGAACCUUGAGCUCACUCGGCAUGUCGAUGGACUUCGGUCCAUCCGCCUUCAUGUCUUCCAACCUCUUUUUUUCACCCCUACUCAUUGACUCACCUACCAACCCCAAGUUGACUGAUCAAUUGUGUCGAUGAUUGGUUGAGCUAGCCAGAUGGACGAGUUUUCGGACUCCCUAUCUCACUCACUCCCUCUUUUUGACCGAACCAUAUGGAUGUUUCCAAAUGAGUUUAAAAUACAACUCUUAGCAAUGGAUAUCUUGGUUCUCGCAACGAUGAAGAACGCAGCGAAAUGCGAUAUGUAAUGCGAAUUGCAGAAUUCAGUGAAUCAUCAAAUCUUUGAACGCAAAUGGCGCUCUCGGGAUAGACCUGGGAGCACGCCUCUCUGAGUAUCGGUAUCACCUCCAAUCCAUGGCGUACUGGAACUUGACUGAGACUUCAAACUCUCACUCGAUCACUCCAACUACUUGCCUGGGAACACUGAGUGUCGAAGUGCGAGCCAAUGGUGAACACCUUGGAUCCAUCACUUCGUUGCUUGAAAUACAUGGAAUACACGAGUUGAAACCCCAUCAUGAUUGCCUUCACUGGUGAUCAUGUGAUUUCACUUAUCGCUGUCCCUAUGUCACUUCGGUGUGCAUGGGUGACAAUAGUCGAUUGAGAUGGUCUAUGACAUUCAUACCACUCUUCUAACUCCAACGUGGAUAAGAAUCGUAUUCAUUGAUUUGAACACGAAUCCGAAACGUAUAGAGAUCUAGACGAGAUCGGGGAAUGGCAUUUUGUAUUAUUUCUGCAGACGAAUGGUAAGAGGAGAUCCGCAGUAUGGUGUGUGCAAUGAUAUUGUUGUAUGUCUCGAACCCACCUCCAAUGGCUGGUGACUACUUCUUUUGGUGGUCUCCUUACGUCUUUUGGUGUGUUUGACUUGGAUCUCAGAUGAAGCGAGAAGACCCCCUGAAUUUAAGCAUAUUAAUAAGGGGAGGAAAAGAAACUAACAAGGAUUCCCCUAGUAACGGCGAGUGAAGCGGGAAGAGCUCAAUAUGAAAAUCGUUGACCCCGGCGGGUCUGCGAAUUGUAGCCUCGAGACAUGCUAUCAGCGUUUGCCCAGGUACAAGUCCUUUGGAAGAAGGCAUCAUAGAGGGUGAGAAUCCCGUCUCGGACCUGGUGUCAGACGCGUACGAUGUAUGUUCACAGAGUCGAGUUGUUUGGGAUUGCAGCUCUAAUCGGGUGGUAAGUUUCAUCGAAAGCUAAAUACUGGCGAGAGACCGAUAGCGAACAAGUACCGUGAGGGAAAGAUGAAAAGAACUUUGAAAAGAGAGUUAAAUUAGUACUUGAAAUUGCUAAGAGGGAACGGCUGGACACCAGUGCUGUUGUGGGGCAUUUUUGCCGUGUCUACAAGGAUGAGUGGGUGCGCUGAGUUGGUAACUCUCAGUGUUCCAACUCUGUCUAGGUGGAUGCGGUACUGUGCUUCAUGACGUGUCAACAUCGGUUCGGGGCGCGGGAGAUCGCCGAGAGGAAGGUAGGGCAUUUCGAUGCCUGUUAUAGCCUCUUUGUGGGACCGUGCCUUGGACCGAGGUACCCUUACGAAAUGCGCCUGCUGGCGUGGGACGUUGCUCCUGGUUUGUCCGACGUGCUUGGAUCACAAUGUGAUGCUGUGUGUCGGAUGGGCUCCUGAGUGGCUGCUCCCUUCUGCAUUUCGAUGAUGUUGACCAAAGGGUGUCCAUCCACCCGUCUUGAAACACGGACCAAGGAGUCUAACAUCUAUGCGAGUAUUUGGGUGUGAAAACCCGUGUGCGAAAUGAAAGUAAAGAUUGUCCUUUAGGGCGAUUCGAGGUAGGAAACCUGACCUGCAAAGGUUGGGUGGCACUAUCGACCGAUCCUCACUUGUGAAAGAUUUGAGUCAGAGCAUAUCUGUUGGGACCCGAAAGAUGGUGAUCUAUGCCUGAACAGGGUGAAGCCAGGGGAAACUCUGGUGGAAGCUCGUAGCGAUACUGACGUGCAAAUCGUUCGUCUGAUUUGGGUAUAGGGGCGAAAGACUAAUCGAACCAUCUAGUAGCUGGUUCCCUC
rnacentral:misc_RNA from 1 species